AGUCGAGGGGCAGCAUGGUCUUAGCUUGCUAAGGCCGAUGGCGACCGGCGCACGGGUGAGUAACACGUAUCCAACCUGCCGUCUACUCUUGGACAGCCUUCUGAAAGGAAGAUUAAUACAAGAUGGCAUCAUGAGUCCGCAUGUUCACAUGAUUAAAGGUAUUCCGGUAGACGAUGGGGAUGCGUUCCAUUAGAUAGUAGGCGGGGUAACGGCCCACCUAGUCUUCGAUGGAUAGGGGUUCUGAGAGGAAGGUCCCCCACAUUGGAACUGAGACACGGUCCAAACUCCUACGGGAGGCAGCAGUGAGGAAUAUUGGUCAAUGGGCGAGAGCCUGAACCAGCCAAGUAGCGUGAAGGAUGACUGCCCUAUGGGUUGUAAACUUCUUUUAUAAAGGAAUAAAGUCGGGUAUGGAUACCCGUUUGCAUGUACUUUAUGAAUAAGGAUCGGCUAACUCCGUGCCAGCAGCCGCGGUAAUACGGAGGAUCCGAGCGUUAUCCGGAUUUAUUGGGUUUAAAGGGAGCGUAGAUGGAUGUUUAAGUCAGUUGUGAAAGUUUGCGGCUCAACCGUAAAAUUGCAGUUGAUACUGGAUAUCUUGAGUGCAGUUGAGGCAGGCGGAAUUCGUGGUGUAGCGGUGAAAUGCUUAGAUAUCACGAAGAACUCCGAUUGCGAAGGCAGCCUGCUAAGCUGCAACUGACAUUGAGGCUCGAAAGUGUGGGUAUCAAACAGGAUUAGAUACCCUGGUAGUCCACACGGUAAACGAUGAAUACUCGCUGUUUGCGAUAUACUGCAAGCGGCCAAGCGAAAGCGUUAAGUAUUC
rnacentral:rRNA from 1 species